CGAACGCUGGCGGCGUGCCUAAUACAUGCAAGUAGAACGCUGAAGGAGGAGCUUGCUUCUCUGGAUGAGUUGCGAACGGGUGAGUAACGCGUAGGUAACCUGCCUGGUAGCGGGGGAUAACUAUUGGAAACGAUAGCUAAUACCGCAUAAGAGUAGAUGUUGCAUGACAUUUACUUAAAAGGUGCAAUUGCAUCACUACCAGAUGGACCUGCGUUGUAUUAGCUAGUUGGUGAGGUAACGGCUCACCAAGGCAACGGUACAUAGCCGACCUGAGAGGGUGAUCGGCCACACUGGGACUGAGACACGGCCCAGACUCCUACGGGAGGCAGCAGUAGGGAAUCUUCGGCAAUGGACGGAAGUCUGACCGAGCAACGCCGCGUGAGUGAAGAAGGUUUUCGGAUCGUAAAGCUCUGUUGUAAGAGAAGAACGAGUGUGAGAGUGGAAAGUUCACACUGUGACGGUAGCUUACCAGAAAGGGACGGCUAACUACGUG
rnacentral:rRNA from 1 species